rnacentral:rRNA from 1 species
CCGGAGCUUGCUCCACCGGAAAAAGAGGAGUGGCGAACGGGUGAGUAACACGUGGGUAACCUGCCCAUCAGAAGGGGAUAACACUUGGAAACAGGUGCUAAUACCGUAUAACAAUCGAAACCGCAUGGUUUUGAUUUGAAAGGCGCUUUCGGGUGUCGCUGAUGGAUGGACCCGCGGUGCAUUAGCUAGUUGGUGAGGUAACGGCUCACCAAGGCCACGAUGCAUAGCCGACCUGAGAGGGUGAUCGGCCACAUUGGGACUGAGACACGGCCCAAACUCCUACGGGAGGCAGCAGUAGGGAAUCUUCGGCAAUGGACGAAAGUCUGACCGAGCAACGCCGCGUGAGUGAAGAAGGUUUUCGGAUCGUAAAACUCUGUUGUUAGAGAAGAACAAGGAUGAGAGUAACUGUUCAUCCCUUGACGGUAUCUAACCAGAAAGCCACGGCUAACUACGUGCCAGCAGCCGCGGUAAUACGUAGGUGGCAAGCGUUGUCCGGAUUUAUUGGGCGUAAAGCGAGCGCAGGCGGUUUCUUAAGUCUGAUGUGAAAGCCCCCGGCUCAACCGGGGAGGGUCAUUGGAAACUGGGAGACUUGAGUGCAGAAGAGGAGAGUGGAAUUCCAUGUGUAGCGGUGAAAUGCGUAGAUAUAUGGAGGAACACCAGUGGCGAAGGCGGCUCUCUGGUCUGUAACUGACGCUGAGGCUCGAAAGCGUGGGGAGCAAACAGGAUUAGAUACCCUGGUAGUCCACGCCGUAAACGAUGAGUGCUAAGUGUUGGAGGGUUUCCGCCCUUCAGUGCUGCAGCUAACGCAUUAAGCACUCCGC